UCAUGUUUGUGUGUGGAUAGUGUUCAGUACCAAGGACAGGCCAUGUUUGUGUGUGGAGAGUGUUCAGUACCAGGGACAGGUCAUGUUUGUGU
rnacentral:pre_miRNA from 1 species